rnacentral:rRNA from 1 species
UACAGAGGGUGCGAGCGUUAAUCGGAAUUACUGGGCGUAAAGCGUGCGCAGGCGGUUGUGCAAGACCGAUGUGAAAUCCCCGGGCUUAACCUGGGAAUGGCAUUUGGGACUGCAAGGCUGGAGUGUGGCAGAGGAGACUGGAAUUCCUGGUGUAGCAGUGAAAUGCGUAGAUAUCAGGAGGAAUACCGAUGGCGAAGGCAGGUCUCUGGGCUGACACUGACGCUCAUGCACGAAAGCGUGGGGAGCAAACAGG